rnacentral:rRNA from 1 species
UAAUGAAUGACUCUCGGCAACGGAUAUCUCGGCUCUUGCAUCGAUGAAGAACGUAGCGAAAUGCGAUACUUGGUGUGAAUUGCAGAAUCCCGUGAACCAUCGAGUCUUUGAACGCAAGUUGCGCCUGAAGCCAUUAGGUUGAGGGCACGUCUGCCUGGGUGUCACA